rnacentral:rRNA from 1 species
GUCCAGACUCCUACGGGAGGCAGCAGUGGGGGAUAUUGCACAAUGGGGGAAACCCUGAUGCAGCGACGCCGCGUGGGUGAAGAAGCGCCUCGGCGCGUAAAGCCCUGUCAGCAGGGAAGAAAAUGACGGUACCUGUCGAAUAAGCCACGGCUAACUACGUGCCAGCAGCCGCGGUAAUACGUAGGUGGCAAGCGUUGUCCGGAUUUACUGGGUGUAAAGGGCGUGUAGCCGGGCUGACAAGUCAGAUGUGAAAUCCGGGGGCUCAACCCCCGAACUGCAUUUGAAACUGUUGGUCUUGAGUAUCGGAGAGGCAGGCGGAAUUCCUAGUGUAGCGGUGAAAUGCGUAGAUAUUAGGAGGAACACCAGUGGCGAAGGCGGCCUGCUGGACGACAACUGACGGUGAGGCGCGAAAGCGUGGGGAGCAAACAGGAUUAGAUACCCUAGUAUA